CUGGGGAAACCCGGGCUAAUACCGCAUACGUCCUACGGGAGAAAGGGGGCUCCGGCUCCCGCUAUGGGAUGAGCCUAUGUCGGAUUAGCUAGUUGGUGAGGUAACGGCUCACCAAGGCCACGAUCCGUAGCUGGUCUGAGAGGAUGAUCAGCCACAUCGGGACUGAGACACGGCCCGAACUCCUACGGGAGGCAGCAGUGGGGAAUAUUGGACAAUGGGGGAAACCCUGAUCCAGCCAUGCCGCGUGUGUGAAGAAGGCCCUCGGGUUGUAAAGCACUUUCAGCGAGGAAGAACGCCUAGCGGUUAAUACCCGCUAGGAAAGACAUCACUCGCAGAAGAAGCACCGGCUAACUCCGUGCCAGCAGCCGCGGUAAUACGGAGGGUGCAAGCGUUAAUCGGAAUUACUGGGCGUAAAGCGCGCGUAGGUGGCUUGAUAAGCCGGUUGUGAAAGCCCCGGGCUCAACCUGGGAACGGCAUCCGGAACUGUCAAGCUAGAGUGCAGGAGAGGAAGGUAGAAUUCCCGGUGUAGCGGUGAAAUGCGUAGAGAUCGGGAGGAAUACCAGUGGCGAAGGCGGCCUUCUGGACUGACACUGACACUGAGGUGCGAAAGCGUGGGUAGCAAACAGGAUUAGAUACCCUGGUAGUCCACGCCGUAAACGAUGUCGACCAGCCGUUGGGUGCCUAGCGCACUUUGUGGCGAAGUUAACGCGAUAAGUCGACCGCCUGGGGAGUACGGCCGCAAGGUUAAAACUCAAAUGAAUUGACGGGGGCCCGCACAAGCGAUGGAGCAUGUGGUUUAAUUCGAUGCAACGCGAAGAACCUUACCUACUCUUGACAUCCUGCGAAUUUGGUAGAGAUACCUUAGUGCCUUCGGGAACGCAGAGACAGGUGCUGCAUGGCUGUCGUCAGCUCGUGUUGUGAAAUGUUGGGUUAAGUCCCGUAACGAGCGCAACCCUUGUCCUUAUUUGCCAGCGCGUAAUGGCGGGAACUCUAAGGAGACUGCCGGUGACAAACCGGAGGAAGGUGGGGACGACGUCAAGUCAUCAUGGCCCUUACGAGUAGGGCUACACACGUGCUACAAUGGUCGGUACAAAGGGUUGCCAACUCGCGAGAGUGAGCCAAUCCCGAAAAGCCGAUCUCAGUCCGGAUCGGAGUCUGCAACUCGACUCCGUGAAGUCGGAAUCGCUAGUAAUCGUGGAUCAGAAUGCCACGGUGAAUACGUUCCCGGGCCUUGU
rnacentral:rRNA from 1 species